GCGAACGCUGGUGGCAGGCCUAACCCAUGCAAGUCGCACGAACUCUUCGGAGUUAGUGGCGGACGGGUGAGUAACACGUGGGAACGUGCCUUUUGGUUCGGAAUAACUCAGGGAAACUUGUGCUAAUACCGAAUGUGCCCUUCGGGGGAAAGAUUUAUCGCCAUUAGAGCGGCCCGCGUCUGAUUAGCUAGUUGGUGAGGUAACGGCUCACCAAGGCGACGAUCAGUAGCUGGUCUGAGAGGAUGACCAGCCACACUGGGACUGAGACACGGCCCAGACUCCUACGGGAGGCAGCAGUGGGGAAUCUUGCGCAAUGGGCGAAAGCCUGACGCAGCCAUGCCGCGUGAAUGAUGAAGGUCUUAGGAUUGUAAAAUUCUUUCACCGGGGACGAUAAUGACGGUACCCGGAGAAGAAGCCCCGGCUAACUUCGUG
rnacentral:rRNA from 1 species